rnacentral:misc_RNA from 1 species
GUGAAGAACGUAGUGAAAUGCGAUAAGUAAUGUGAAUUGCAGAAUUCAGUGAAUCAUCGAAUCUUUGAACGCACAUUGCGCCCGCCAGUAUUCUGGCGGGCAUGCCUGUCCGAGCGUCAUUUCAACCCUCGAACCCCUCCGGGGGGUCGGCGUUGGGGAUCGGCCCUUUACCGGCCGGCCCCGAAAUACAGUGGCGGUCUCGCCGCAGCCUCUCCUGCGCAGUAGUUUGCACACUCGCACCGGGAGCGCGGCGCAGUCCAAUGCCGUAAAACACCCAACUUUCUGAAAUGUUGACCUCGGAUCAGGUAGGAAUACCCGCUGAACUUAAGCAUAUCAAUAAGCGGAGGA